CCAUAUAUACAUCAGGUCCCUUUUUAUCUUCUUUUGGUAUGGGAAUAUGUGAGGGGUGUUUUCCCCCCAACAGACCCUGAAUCAACUAAUGUGGGUUUGAAUGGUCAAUUAAAAUGCCAGGCUGCACAUGGAGGGGGAGCAAGCCUUAGCUGAUCAAGAAACCCAGCUGGGCAGGAGCAGGGUGAUAAAGAGAGGAAGUUUGUAAUAGAAAGGGGCUUAUCCUCUAGUUUAUUCUUUGGGAAUUCAGCAGGUGUAUGGAGGAAGCCUGGGUAACAAAGAAGCCCUGGGAUCCCAGUCUGACAAGUAGCUAGGAGACACAAAGCAGCCAUUGAAAGUGGAACUGGCUCCAGGAGUAAGCCGUGAUAAAAAUAGGUAGACUUCAACUGUGACCUGGCUGGAGGGCUGAGGCAGAGGGAACAGGAAGAUGCUGGCUAUUAGAGUGGCUGUCAGCCGGAUGUGCCAGAUACAGAGAGAACCACUACACCAUGCCUGGGCACAAAGAGAUGGUCCUGUGAGAGGGCUGCUGAGAGCGGGUUCGAGCCCAGGUGAACCCCCCCCCUCCAAAGGGCGGACCUACUAAACAGGGCCGACGAAGCUGGGCCCCUUUCCGGGCUGCAGAGUCCUGGUAAUUUGUACCGGCUUCCCCCUACUCUCGACGGCCCUGCUUUCAGACAAUCUUCCAUUCAGAAACAGACUGAUUUAUAUGCCUCUCUUCACCAUCAUGGUUUGUGCACUACUGUUGCUUAGUGGUUUCUCUCUCUCUCUCCCUCCCUCAGGAGGGAGGAACAAUGUGUGUGUAGUUUGCCAGUGUAUGUCACAUGAUCCUCCCUCCCCUCUGCACCUGAUCAAAAGAGUGAGAGUCUGCUACAGCCCUAGUUAGUAUCUGGCACAUUAGCUCAAGCAGUAAAGGCUUUUUGUUGUGGGAGACCUUAGUCCAGUGGUGGGCAACCUGCAGCCCAGGGGCCACAUGCAGCCCAUCAGAGUAAUCUGAUUGCAGGCCACAAGACACUUUGGUGAUGUUGACCAUCUGCCAGCAUGGCACCCGCAGCUCCCAGUGGCUAGGAAUGUCAGCAAAAUGUCAUGUGGCCCGCAAUCAUAGUACCCUGAUGGGUUGCAGGUUGCCCACCACUGCCCUAGUUCAAUCCCUGGUAUUGGCUAUGAUGGUGGCCAUCAUACAGGCAUGCUAGAAGAAAGGGGAUGGGGGGAGUAAAGGAGUUGAAGGGGGAAACAUAGAGAAAAGAGUAAUUGUCGCAUCUAUAUUAGUGGAUGGUAAUUUAGAUUGCAAAGUGGCUUCUCUUCAUGCACUCAACAGGACUACAGGAGUUCUGGGCCUAUCUCCCCUCCUGUUUCCCUUCCACAGCAUUGUAUUCAUCUCUCCCUCACUGCUCUGGUUGGGCAGCAGGACCAUGGCAUCUUCUCCUCUUCACUACUGAUUGAGAGUAGGGAGAAGCAACACUGGGCGCAACCCCUUUUUUGAUCCCCUACUGCACCCCAGUGUCCCUGUUAAGACCCUUGAAUGUUUUAAGUAUCUUAAACUGCCAUAGUAGCUUAAAACAUCGUCUGUAUCUUAAGCCUCUUGAAGGAUUUAAAGCAGGUUAAGUUCUUUAAGAUGUCUGAAGUCUGUAGGACAGUUUAAGCUGCUUAGAGUAGCUCAUGCCACUUUGGAGCCCUAAAGCAGCUUUAGGGCUCCAAAGACCCUCCUAAACCUUUAAGAAUAUCUUAAGCAGUUUAAACUGCUUUAAUCUCUGGUCUAUCAGCUUGUGUGUGCUUAUGGCAUGAGUGUAAUUACAGGACUCUGGGUGGAGACAUACGCCCACAUCUUUAAUGCAAAGAGGGAUGCUAUAGUUCACCCCAACUGCCAAGGGAUCCACUUGCAGAGUUCUCCUCCUCCUCCUCCUCCCUUGGUGUGCCUGGUGAUACUGUUGCUUAGGGUAGGAAAGCUCUUCCACUCAAGUCGUUCUCUUCUGCCUUUUAUUUGGAUGAGACUCCAAGCUGAAAAGGCACUUGGGUCCCCAUGUCAUCAGACUCCUAAUACUCUGGAGCCUAGACACCAGCACCACAUUCAGAAAACAUCAUUGUGUUGUACUCUCCAUUUGGUGGUUGGUUGUGGUUUAGGUGUGGGUUUUUUUGCCACAGUGUAAAUAAUUUGAGAAAAGACACUUAUUUGAUUGGCAAGCCAUGUUCCCACUCCAUGUAUCUUGUUCAGCUAUGCACUUUGAAACCCAUCUCUGUCACAGGCACCUUUCUGAGUCAAAUUGUGAACACUGUCUUGUUCUAUGUGUGGAAAUAUUGGACAUAGACUGUGUCCAAGUCUGGAAGUGACCAAAGACCACCACUGAACUACAUUCUAGACAACUGCCUUGCCUGGAAAGGGUGUUUGACACCACGUUGAAGGACUAGCACUAAGCCAUGGCUGUAAUCUGCGGCCGGUGACUUUGUGUCUCAACUAUGGCCCGCUCUCAGGGAACAAUGGGUUUUCUAUACUGGGGCCUGCAGAGGAGGAAGCAGCAAACAUGACUGAUGGGUCUGUAGCUCUGUGCAAGGGGCCAACCAUCACCACUGUAACGAGGAUGUACAGGAGAGGGGGCAGGAGUGACUGUCCAGCCUGGAAUGCUGACAAACCUAGCACUCACAGAAGGGGUGAGAUUAGACUAGGAAAAGGUACAUCUCAGGACUUCUGUUUCCAAAAACUUGUAACUCUCAAAUGCUUUUAGAGUAAAGUCACUGUGGUUAAAUUCCUUUGUGAAGCCUGUAUUCCUCACUGUCCUGUCAUGACAUCCCCAAAGGGGUUACACUAGAAAUCCAGUGCCCAUAGUCUAGGCAGGACUCUGGAGGAGCAUGUGUAAGUGACUGGGGCUUGGGAGGCCUUAGACCCUGAUUCAGGGGCCUAGUGCAUCUCGAUGGUACUCCACAUUCCAAGGAAGGACAUCAGAUUUGGUAUGAACCUCAGAGUGAGUCCAGAGCGGGAAGCAUUGACUUGACUCUAUCCCAGCUCUGCUGACUUAGAAGCAUGUGAAACUCAACAAUUGCCUGGGUCCCCUCACAACAAACUGGUGACCGUACGAUGUGUCACAGAGCCAGGUUGUAACAUAAUCAUUUAAAAAGUUUAUGGGGAAUACUUCCCUCAACUUUCUUCUCAAUUAAGUUUUCACACUGCAUUUAAAAACUUUCAUCCGGACCAACCCCAGGUUGAUUACAUUAUUUCCUUAUUGACCUCUUCCUGUGGGAAAACUCCUUUGUACUUGCAAAGAAAGUAAAGGACUGAUCACUCCCUCUGGAGGAGGGAAAAACCCAUGGGACGGACCCUAAGAGAAGAAUAGCUUUAAUGGGUUUCCCCUAGGUCAUUCAGUAAUUGGCCAAUGUAGAUUGCUAUAAGGAUCUGCAGUAAGCCAGGUGUGACACUGAGCCAGCAAUGGUUAAGCAACUAGUAGGCUAAAUGACCCAAAUUCAACCUUCAAAGACACAUUAGAAAAGUAUACAAAGGGUAAUUAGGGCCAUUCCUUAUAAAUAUCUAACAUGGCUUUGUUAGCUAAAUUAGUGUUUUGAAAUGCAAACUUGUAUUGUUAGAAAAUUAGAGGUAAAUACUAAUUGUAUUUGUAUGUGCUACCUAUUUCUUGUUAGAUGUUAACCAGAUUAGUUUGUGGAUGCUUUCAUGUCUUAAUUACAUUAUAUCAUGCUUGCAGAUGGUUCCGUUAACCUUAAGAUCAAAGAUGGAAGAUAUUGCAGGAAAUAAUACUUAUAUUUUCUUCUGUUGAAAUUCUCUGCCAUAACGAAAUGCCUUGAUAGUUUGA